rnacentral:rRNA from 1 species
CCUACGGGGGGCAGCAGUGGGGAAUAUUGCGCAAUGGGCGAAAGCCUGACGCAGCAACGCCGCGUGCGGGACGACGGCCUUCGGGUUGUAAACCGCUUUCAGCAGGGACGAAACUGACGGUACCUGCAGAAGAAGCACCGGCUAACUACGUGCCAGCAGCCGCGGUGAUACGUAGGGUGCGAGCGUUGUCCGGAAUUAUUGGGCGUAAAGAGCUCGUAGGCGGUCUGUCACGUCGGAAGUGAAAACUCGGGGCUCAACCCCGAGCCUGCUUUCGAUACGGGCAGACUUGAGGAAUGUAGGGGAGAACGGAAUUCCUGGUGGAGCGGUGGAAUGCGCAGAUAUCAGGAGGAACACCAGUGGCGAAGGCGGUUCUCUGGACAUUAACUGACGCUGAGGAGCGAAAGCGUGGGGAGCAAACAGGCUUAGAUACCCGUGUAGUC